rnacentral:rRNA from 1 species
GGCGAACGCUGGCGGCGUGCCUAAUACAUGCAAGUUGAGCGCUGAAGGUUGGUACUUGUACCAACUGGAUGAGCAGCGAACGGGUGAGUAACGCGUGGGGAAUCUGCCUUUGAGCGGGGGACAACAUUUGGAAACGAAUGCUAAUACCGCAUAAAAACUUUAAACACAAGUUUUAAGUUUGAAAGAUGCAAUUGCAUCACUCAAAGAUGAUCCCGCGUUGUAUUAGCUAGUUGGUGAGGUAAAGGCUCACCAAGGCGAUGAUACAUAGCCGACCUGAGAGGGUGAUCGGCCACAUUGGGAAUGAGACACGGCCCAAACUCCUACGGGAGGCAGCAGUAGGGAAUCUUCGGCAAUGGACGAAAGUCUGAACGAGAAACGCCGCGGGAGUGAAGAAGGUUUUCGGAUCGUAAAACUCUGUUGGUAGAGAAGAACGUUGGUGAGAGUGGAAAGCUCAUCAAGUGACGGUAACUACCCAGAAAGGGACGGCUAACUACGUG